GACGAACGCUGGCGGCGUGCCUAAUACAUGCAAGUCGAGCGAAGUUUUUCUGGUGCUUGCACCGGAAAAACUUAGCGGCGAACGGGUGAGUAACACGUAAAGAACCUGCCUCAUAGACUGGGACAACUAUUGGAAACGAUAGCUAAUACCGGAUAACAGCAUUAACUGCAUGGUUGAUGUUUAAAAGUUGGUUUUGCUAACACUAUGAGAUGGCUUUGCGGUGCAUUAGCUAGUUGGUGGGGUAAAGGCCUACCAAGGCGACGAUGCAUAGCCGACCUGAGAGGGUGAUCGGCCACACUGGGACUGAGACACGGCCCAGACUCCUACGGGAGGCAGCAGUAGGGAAUCUUCCGCAAUGGGCGAAAGCCUGACGGAGCAACGCCGCGUGAGUGAAGAAGGAUUUCGGUUCGUAAAGCUCUGUUGUUAGGGAUGAAUGAUUGUGUAGUAACUAUACACAGUAGAGACGGUACCUAACCAGAAAGCCACGGCUAACUACGUG
rnacentral:rRNA from 1 species